GGCUCAGGAUGAACGCUAGCGGCAGGCUUAACACAUGCAAGUCGAGGGCAUCGGGAGUAGCAAUACUUGCCGGCGACCGGCGCAAGGGUGCGUAACGCGUGAGCAACAUGCCCGUAUCAGGGGGGAUAAUCCAUGGAAACGUGGUCUAAUACCCCAUAGUAAUUAUGUAAGGCAUCUUAUAUAAUUUAAAGCUUUGGUGGAUACGGAUUGGCUCGCGUGACAUUAGCUAGAUGGUAAGGUAACGGCUUACCAUGGCUACGAUGUCUAGGGGUUCUGAGAGGAAGGUCCCCCCACACUGGAACUGAGACACGGUCCAGACUCCUACGGGAGGCAGCAGUGAGGAAUAUUGGACAAUGGAUGGAAAUCUGAUCCAGCCAUGCCGCGUGCAGGGAAAGACGGCCCUAUGGGUUGUAAACUGCUUUUGUAUGGGAGCAAUAAGGGCUACGCGUAGUCCGAUGAGAGUACCAUACGAAUAAGCACCGGCUAACUCCGUGCCAGCAGCCGC
rnacentral:rRNA from 1 species